CACCUCCACCUCCCCCACAAGGGCUACCUCCUGGUGCACCUAUGGCAAAUCCUCCUAGAGCUCCUCCACCUCCAAUGCCAGGAUCUAUGCCACCUCCUCCUCCUAUGGCAGCAGCUAACGGUCCUAGGCCUGCACCUUCCAGUGGAAUGCCAUCUGUCCCACCCCCACCCCCUAUUGCAAGUGGAGCAUCGGGUUUCAACAUGGGUACUAGACCUCCAUCAAUGCCUCCUCCACAAGGUUUUCCUGCCCAACCAAUGCAGAGUCAGGGUGUCCGUCUUCCUCCGCCACCCCCUAACAUGGGACAGUAGGUUCU
rnacentral:lncRNA from 1 species